rnacentral:lncRNA from 1 species
CACCUUGAUCUUAGACUUCUCAGCCUCCAGAACUUUGAGAAAUAAAUUUCUGUUGUUAUCCAUAGCCACCCAGUAAUGACAUUCUGUUAUUACAGCCUUAAUGGACUACGACACGGACUAAAACCUGUGAAGGAAGAGAGUUGGAAACACAAGAAGAAACUGGCCAGCUGUUCUGAAAGUUCUACGGCCUUCCACAGUCAUGCCUGCCUUUCCCGAAAUGGCAGUUGCAAGACAGCCUUGAUAUAGAGAGAGGUUAUCAGCUGGGAUAUGCAUUGUAGAGUGACCCCCAACCCCUACGUCCACCUUCAGCAUUUGAAAGCAACAUGAGAAUCUACUAUGAAAUUGGGUGAAUUCAUAUCAAUAUAAUGUUUUAAAAUAUUUUUUAGAUUUCUUAAUUCUAAGCACAUUUCCAUGAAUACUUUUCCAGGAAUACUUUUCCAGGAAUACUAUGAUAUACCUUAAAGAUGAUAUAAUCAGCAAUUCCAAAUCAAAUUAAUAUGCAAAAGUUCUAAGUUGUGUAUCUUGCUGUUAUAGUUGGAUCAUAAAACUAGUGAUUCAACUGACUAAUUAAGAGUUCAAUGACCAGUGAUUCUUUUCUUUGCCUUCAGGUUGCCCCACUCCCUAAAUGUUGCUAAAUAAAAAUGGAUUGAUCUCUAGUCAUCCAAGAAAAUUCUCUUAUCUCCUAAGUGAGGCUCACUGUUGUGUGAAAGAGCCUUCAAGCUAGUGAAAGUUUUUUGGGAGCAUAAGGGUGAAUAUCUCUUAAAAGAAAGAAUGAAAAAGAAAAGAAGAAGAAGAAAAAAAGAAAUUGCAUGCAACAUCAUCAUGCUCCUUACUCCUAUAUCCAGCCCCUUCCCACUGGGCCAUUCUGGUUUCAAUUCCCAUGGGACAAUAGAAAGGACAGUUUUGAAAUUAAAUUGACUGAAUAAUAUUUUACAAUUGUGAUGUGUUUGUAUGAAAAACUAUA